GCACUGUUGGUGUAGUGGUAACAUCUGAGCUUCCCAUGCUCAGGCGCCGCGUUCGAUUCGCGGGCAGUGCA